rnacentral:rRNA from 1 species
UCCUACGGGGGCAGCAGUGGGGAAUAUUGCACAAUGGGGGGAACCCUGAUGCAGCGACGCCGCGUGGGCGAUGGAGUAUUUCGGUAUGUAAAGCCCUAUCGGCAGGGAAGAAGCUGACAGUACCUGACUAAGAAGCCCCGGCUAACUACGUGCCAGCAGCCGCGGUAAUACGUAGGGGGCAAGCGUUAUCCGGAUUUACUGGGUGUAAAGGGAGCGUAGACGGCAGUGCAAGUCUGGAGUGAAAGGCGGGGGCUCAACCCCCGGACUGCUCUGGAAACUGUACGGCUGGGGUGCAGGAGAGGGAA